AUGACCUUCAAGCGCCGGAACGGCGGCCGCAACAAGCAUGGCCGCGGCCACGUCAGGUUCAUCCGCUGCGACAACUGCGCCAAGAGCGUCCCCAAGGACAAGGCGAUCAAGAGGUACAAGGUGCAGAACAUCGUGGCACCGGAAGGCAUCAGCUAUUUCACGGAGGCGUCCGUCCUUGACGGUUACCAUCUGCCCAAGAUUUACAUCAAGGAGCGCUGGUGCGUGGGCUGCGCCAUCCAUAUGAAGAAAAUCGGUGUCCGCUCCCGUAAGGACCGCAAGAACCGCGCACCUCCGGAAAGCGUCCGCCGCAGGGGGCCAAGACCUGUGGGCCAAGCUCCUCGUCCUGGUGGCGUCGGCGGGGGUCCUGGUGGUGUCGGCGGAGGUUCUGGUGGUACUGGCGGUGGCUUCGGCGCCGGUGCUCCAGCUCCCAACGUCGCUGGCGACUGGCCCCAGAAUUAG
rnacentral:rRNA from 1 species